rnacentral:misc_RNA from 1 species
AGGCGAUGACAUUCUACUGAACUUUUAGUGGUUUGUAUUAAAAGCAAGGAAUUGUCCCGGCUCAACCCACUUCCCCACAAAGGGAGAGCAGGGAACGGCUCACUGAAUGAACAGGAGGACAACUCCUCAUAAGUGCACAGGUGUUGAGUGGAUGAGCGGGGCGAGCACAUGCCCCUUUGACAGGGCCAGCAUCAAACCCACAUUUAAACUCGAUAAUGAUCCUUCCGCAGGUUCACCUACGGAAACCUUGUUACGACUUUUACUUCCUCUAAAUGACCAAGA